rnacentral:misc_RNA from 1 species
GUGAAUCAUCAAAUUUUUGAACGCAAAUUGCACUCUCUUCGGAGAGUAUGACCGUUUGAGGGUCAGCAUAAAAAAAAUCGACGAAGUCGUUGUUUCGCGGUGAUAUUCGUCGGAAAGUGGGUCAUCUUAAACCUUUGGGUUUUUUAAGCGGCUUAAAAUCUUCUUUAUGAUUCUACGAACGUUCUUAAGUUUUACUUCUUACGCUUACGGAUUCGUUUUUUAUUAGAGGAGUCCGUAGCAUCGGGUUAUGUCUAUAAA